rnacentral:rRNA from 1 species
CUAGCGACAGGCCUAACACAUGCAAGUCGAGGGGCAGCACAAGGAGCAAUCUGAGGUGGCGACCGGCGCACGGGUGAGUAACACGUAUGCAACCUGCCUGUAAGCGGGGAAUAACCCGUUGAAAGACGGACUAAUACCGCAUAAUACUAAAUUACUGCAUGGUAAUUUAUUUAAACAUUUAUGGCUUACAGAUGGGCAUGCGCAUGAUUAGCUAGUUGGAGAGGUAACGGCUCCCCAAGGCAACGAUCAUUAGGGGUUCUGAGAGGAAGGUCCCCCACACUGGUACUGAGACACGGACCAGACUCCUACGGGAGGCAGCAGUGAGGAAUAUUGGUCAAUGGACGAGAGUCUGAACCAGCCAAGUCGCGUGCAGGAAGAAUGUCCUAUUGGAUUGUAAACUGCUUUUGCAGGGGAAUAAAGUGCAUCACGUGUGAUGUUUUGUAUGUACUCUGCGAAUAAGGAUCGGCUAACUCCGUGCCAGCAGCUGC